UACGUAGGGGGCAAGCGUUGUCCGGAUUUAUUGGGCGUAAAGAGCGUGUAGGCGGCCAAGCAGGUCAGCUGUGAAAACUCGAGGCUCAACCUCGAGACGUCGGUUGAAACCGCUUGGCUAGAGUCCGGAAGAGGAGAGUGGAAUUCCUGGUGUAGCGGUGAAAUGCGCAGAUAUCAGGAAGAACACCCGUGGCGAAGGCGGCUCUCUGGGACGGUACUGACGCUGAGACGCGAAAGCGUGGGGAGCGAACAGG
rnacentral:rRNA from 1 species